rnacentral:rRNA from 1 species
AGGGGGCGAGCGUUGUUCGGAAUUACUGGGCGUAAAGGGCGCGCAGGCGGCUCUGAAAGUCAGAUGUGAAAGCCCCGGGCUUAACCUGGGAAUUGCAUUUGAUACUCUAGAGCUUGAGUACGGGAGAGGAGAGUGGAAUUCCCAGUGUAGAGGUGAAAUUCGUAGAUAUUGGGAAGAACACCGGUGGCGAAGGCGGCUCUCUGGACCGUAACUGACGCUGAGGCGCGAAAGCGUGGGGAGCAAACAGGAUUAGAUACCCGUGGUAGUCCACGCCGUAAACGAUGUGCGCUAGACGUUGGGGGGCUUAGCCUCUCAGUGUCGCAGCUAACGCUUUAAGCGCACCGCCUGGGGAGUACGGCCGCAAGGUUAAAACUCAAAGGAAUUGACGGGGGCCCGCACAAGCGGUGGAGCAUGUGGUUCAAUUCGACGCAACGCGAAGAACCUUACCAGCUCUUGACAUGCCCGGUAUGGAGCCGAGAGAUCGACUCCUUCAGUUCGGCUGGCCGGUGCACAGGUGCUGCAUGGCUGUCGUCAGCUCGUGUCGUGAGAUGUUGGGUUAAGUCCCGCAACGAGCGCAACCCUCACCUUCAGUUGCCAUCAGGUUAAGCUGGGCACUCUGAAGGAACUGCCGGUGACAAGCCGGAGGAAGGCGGGGAUGACGUCAAGUCCUCAUGGCCUUUAUGGGCUGGGCUACACACGUGCUACAAUGGCGGUGACAGUGGGACGCGAAGGGGCAACCCUUGGCCAAUCUCAAAAAGCCGUCUCAGUUCGGAUUGUUCUCUGCAACUCGAGAGCAUGAAGCUGGAAUCGCUAGUAAUCGCGGAUCAGCACGCCGCGGUGAAUACGUUCCCGGGCCUUGUACU